AUUGAACGCUGGCGGAAUGCUUUACACAUGCAAGUCGAACGGUAGAGGGGGCAACCCCUCGAGAGUGGCGAACGGGUGAGUAAUAUAUCGGAACGUGCCCAGUCGUGGGGGAUAACGUAGCGAAAGUUACGCUAAUACCGCAUACGAUCUACGGAUGAAAGCGGGGGACCGUAAGGCCUCGCGCGAUUGGAGCGGCCGAUAUCAGAUUAGGUAGUUGGUGGGGUAAAGGCUCACCAAGCCAACGAUCUGUAGCUGGUCUGAGAGGACGACCAGCCACACUGGAACUGAGACACGGCCCAGACUCCUACGGGAGGCAGCAGUGGGGAAUAUUGGGCAAUGGAGGAAACUCUGACCCAGCGACGCCGCGUGAGGGAUGAAGGCCUUCGGGUUGUAAACCUCUUUUAGCAGGGAAGAAGCGAAAGUGACGGUACCUGCAGAAAAAGCACCGGCUAACUACGUG
rnacentral:rRNA from 1 species